GAAUCUCAGCUCAGAUUACAAAGACUGGUUCAUGUUCACUUUCCCAUGAAAAUGCAGCAAAUUAAUUACUGAGUUUGCAUAACCUAAGGGCGUUCAGCAGUUGCUGAAAGAUCAUUUAUAUAAUUUAAUUGGGUGUGUCCCUGUCUGUGGAUGGCUGUUUAAAUGCAAUUCCAAUCAAAGGUUGUAACUUAAUAUUAACAUCAGUGAUUGGGGUGUAGUAGCCCCACACUGGGAAAGCAAGGCCAAACCAGGCUAAGCUGGCUGAAGAAAUCCUGCCUCUGCAGCCCUGCUGGGCAUGCUUGAAGGCCUGGAGAGAAGGUCAGUCUGGGCUGGCUGCUGAGGAGGAAGGAGAUACUACCAGAGCUCCUGGAUGCAAUCUGCCAGUGGGAAUGGGCCCGGAGACCCACCAGCCAGUGAGAUGCUGGAGAUACUGCCAAGGAUCUGGAGAAAGGACCCUGGAAGGUGUCCAGCAGAGACUGGUAGGAAGCAGAAUGAAGUGGGAGAUUGUAUCCUGAGGAGCUCAGUGUGUUGCGAAUACAAAAGGAAGAGUUCUGGGAAUGAGUCAGGAAUGGGUCAAGCUGAAAGGUCAUUUCUCCAGUCUGGAAAUCCCAGACACAUGCUGCCCUCAAAAGAAUGAGUGAAAAGCCUUUUAUUUUACAUUUAAGGAACAGCAGUAGAAAAGAAGAAGAUGCAAGCCAGGUGACCCUGACUAUCAGAGGGAAGCAUGGGGAAUGAAUCAUGCUGAAUGUUCCAGUGUUCCUAGAGGACAACUUCUGGGGUACUGUUUCCUAUGUGACUGGCCCUGAGGACAGGAGAGACCCAUCUCUCAUCUCCACAAGAACUGACAAACUUUAACCAGAAAGAGAUAUGUAGGAUUUGGGCAGCUUCAGUAUAUGUGAAGUUAUCAGUAGCCCCAGAACUGAUCAUGGUCCACAGAGUGAGGAAUCAACCAGUUCCCUCUUCCUAUAUAACUGUAUCUGUACUUGAAGUGUGGAGAGGACCUGUGUGUCCCAGGUCAGGUUUCUCUUGAAUUCUGAAGACUAGUCCCCUGGGGGUACUCAGCCUGGCCUUCCGUUCAGCCUGGGUUUACUUGUUUCCCAAUCCCUCACUGGCUGUGGUCCACAAUGGGUAAAAAGUGAAGUCAGGUCCUGGUACUCUGUAAUAAAGGCAUCAAUUAUUGCACUGUCACUAUUUAUUCUCUUCCAGGGUGUUGCAUGUCACAAAACAUGCACAGGUUUGUGGCUGGGCCUGGAGGUUUCUGUCAUGGUGUGCGGGUGAGACAGCAGCACGGUCACCCUCUUCU